UUCCGUAGGUGAACCUGCGGAAGGAUCAUUGUCGUACCCUGGAAACAGAAAAGCGACCGUGGCAACCUCGUCCGUAAACCGAACCCCCGGCGCGGAAUGUGCCAAGGAACUGAAACCAAAGAGCGUCGCCGGCCGCCUCGGACACGAUGUGCGUGCCGGCGUCGACGUCUUGUAUUUAUCCAAAACGACUCUCGGCAACGGAUAUCUCGGCUCUCGCAUCGAUGAAGAACGUAGCGAAAUGCGAUACUUGGUGUGAAUUGCAGAAUCCCGUGAAUCAUCGAGUCUUUGAACGCAAGUUGCGCCCGACGCCAUUCGGCCGAGGGCACGUCUGCCUGGGUGUCACGCACCGUUGCCCCCAAACGCCCCCGCCUCGCAAGGGGCGCGGGAUCUCGUUUGGUGGCGGAAGUUGGCCUCCCGUGGGCCUGUGCUCGCGGUUAGCCUAAAAAGGAGUCCUCGGCGACGAGCGCCACGACAAUCGGUGGUUGAUUAGACCUCGGUCCCCGUCGUGCGUGUCUGGUCGCCACAAGGUGUGACUCGUCGACCCUAACGCGUCGUACCCACGUCGCUCCCAACGCGACCCCAGGUCAGGCGGGACUACCCGCUGAG
rnacentral:rRNA from 1 species